rnacentral:rRNA from 1 species
UACGUAGGGUGCAAGCGUUGUCCGGAAUUAUUGGGCGUAAAGAGCUCGUAGGCGGUCUGUCGCGUCGGCUGUGAAAACUCGGGGCUCAACCCCGAGCCUGCAGUCGAUACGGGCAGACUAGAGUGCUGUAGGGGAGACUGGAAUUCCUGGUGUAGCGGUGAAAUGCGCAGAUAUCAGGAGGAACACCGGUGGCGAAGGCGGGUCUCUGGGCAGUAACUGACGCUGAGGAGCGAAAGCGUGGGGAGCGAACGG